GCGCGGGACGUCGUUCUCCUGGUAGUACGCCAUCGCCUGCUGCUUCAGCUUCAGCAGGUCCCUAGAGAUCCCGCCGCUGCGGCCGCCGCCUUCGUCCCCCAUGAUGGAGAGUGUCGGGGUGUACGGCUUCUGUGGCUGCAAAGGGAAGAGCAAAGUGAAGUGCGACUCCAGGUGGGAAAUAGCAGCAGCAGGGCUCUGCAGCUCAAGUUGGAUGCUGGAUAUCACAUGGCUUCCACGGAGUGAAGCUAAGACCUGAGCCCUUGUAGCAUGGGUCAAGUCCACCACUGGCUGCUCUCAGUUAGACCUCCAGAAGACGUCCCGCCUCCUCUUAUGAACAGCCACCACGCUGAUGGGCUGUGGAUUGGGCUUUCAGUCUGUGUCCUCUCUGAAUGGUGAGCUCCUUGGUCCAGGUGACACUCAUUUCCCCGUGUGUUCUCAAGGACUGAAAUACCACAGAGACUCCUACUGUUAGUUGAAUUUAAUAAAGUUCAAGCUAAAUGUUUAUGCACAUGCAUGCGUAUAUUUUU